rnacentral:rRNA from 1 species
AACGAACGCUGGCGGCAGGCUUAACACAUGCAAGUCGAACGCACCUUUCGGGGUGAGUGGCAGACGGGUGAGUAACGCGUGGGAAUCUACCCUUCUCUACGGGAUAGCUCCGGGAAACUGGAAUUAAUACCGUAUACGUCCUGAGGGAGAAAGAUUUAUCGGGGAAGGAUGAGCCCGCGUUGGAUUAGCUAGUUGGUGGGGUAAAGGCCUACCAAGGCGACGAUCCAUAGCUGGUCUAAGAGGAUGAUCAGCCACAUUGGGACUGAGACACGGCCCAAACUCCUUCGGGAGGCAGCAGUGGGGAAUAUUGGACAAUGGGCGCAAGCCUGAUCCAGCCAUGCCGCGUGAGUGAUGAAGGCCCUAGGGUUGUAAAGCUCUUUCAGUGGGGACGAUAAUGACGGUACCCACAGAAGAAGCCCCGGCUAACUUCGUG